AUCCAGCUGACGAGUCCCAAAUAGAACUGAAACACGCAUCAAACUGGAU
rfam:Schistosoma mattheei strain Denwood, Zambia genome assembly, scaffold: SMTD_contig0010356